rnacentral:lncRNA from 1 species
CAUUGCAAGUCCCGGUAUCCUGAAACCUGACAUCAUUGGCCCUGGAGUGAGAAUUUUAGCUGCUUGGCCAGUUUCAGUUGACAAUACCACCAACAGGUUUGAUAUGAUCUCAGGCACCUCAAUGUCUUGCCCUCAUCUUAGUGGCAUUGCUGCUCUGCUAAAACAUGCCCAUCCUGACUGGUCACCUGCUGCUAUUAAAUCUGCCAUUAUGACCACUGCUAAUUUGAAUAACCUAGGAGGCAAACCCAUUUCUGAUCAAGAGUUUGUUCUAGCUACUGUGUUUGACAUGGGUGCAGGCCAUGUGAAUCCGUCAAGAGCAAAUGAUCCAGGGCUUAUUUAUGAUAUCCAACCUGAAGAGUACAUUCCUUACUUGUGUGGUCUGGGUUAUUCUGACAAUCAAGUAGGACUAAUUGUGCAGGGAUCAGUGAAGUGCACAAACGAUUCAAGCAUACCUGAAUCUCAACUCAAUUAUCCUUCAUUUUCGAUUAAAUUGGGUUCUUCUCCAAAAACUUACACAAGAACAGUUACAAAUGUUGGGAAGCCUACUUCAGCAUACACUCCUAAGAUCUAUGGACCACAAGGCGUAGAUGUUAAGGUGACGCCUGAUAUAAUUCAUUUCAGUGAGGUGAAUGAGAAAGCCACAUAUACAGUAACAUUUAGCCAAAAUGGGAAAGCUGGUGGACCAUUUUCCCAAGGUUACCUGACUUGGGUAGGUGAAGGCUACAGUGUUGCAAGCCCAAUUGCUGUCAUCUUUGAAUAAGCAUAGUUAUAACGCUCAAGAGUCGAUUGCAAUAUAAUUAUCUGCUGCUAUGAUGGAGAAUAAUAUGUUGAAGAGAAUAGAUUUAUAAUGUCAAAAGAAUUCUUUAAUUUCACCUUUCUUUCUAAUGUUCAUCAGAAAACAAAUAAUCAGCAAACUAAUAUCCUAUUCUAAAAUUUAUAUCAAGGUGCUGCCGUAGUUUACAGCUAUUAAAUUUUCAUUUAAUGCCUUAAUGUGUUAUUCAGUGAAAUUAUUAAAAAAAUUUAAUUCAAAUUUAUAUAAAAAGUAUUAGUAUGUCAUUUUUUUUAUGUUCAUUAUAUAUCUUUUAUUAAAUUAAACAGUUUAUACUAUAUGAUAUGCAAUGCUGAAAUUUUUGACAAUGUAAUAGAAAGAAGUACAAAAUAAUAACUUAAAGUUGAGUCAUUUUAUAUUUAAACAAUAUAUUUUUUGAGAUUUUUUAAUGAUUAAUUUUUUUAUUUAAGAAUAUUUAUUUUUUUAAAAAUAAUUUAACAAACUUAUUACUUGAAAUAUAUCUGUAGUUGAGUUUGAUGUUUUGAUAUAAUUAGUUAAUUGGAUUAUAAUUGAAUUAGUCAUUUUUAUAUUACACACAAGCGUCUCCGUAUCUGUACGACACUGCACCAAUUGCCAACUCUAGUUUGUAGGGAAUGGGUUGAGCCAGCGGCAGAGUUGAGAAACAACAAGAGCAACAUUAUUACUCGGAAACAAAGAGAGCUAAAUGGUAAAUCUCUUUUCCAGCCAAAAUAGAUAAUGGUGGUGCAGCCGUAAUAGUAUGAAGGCUUAAGUAUAGCACCAAGGCUACAAGUGAUCCUUGCCUCACAUGUGGAUUACGAAGCAGGAUCAGCUAUCAAAGCUUAUAUAAACUCUACAUCAUCGCCAAAGGCUAUACAAUCUUGUUUAAAGGAACCGUAGUUGGCUUGACAGAUACUUCACAAGUUGCUUGGUUUUCCUCAUGACAAAGGCAGGGGGAGACUGUAGCUGGGUGUAGUUUAAGAAAAAAUUAAAAUAAAAAAAUUUAUUUAAUUCUAAAUUUGUUCGAUUUUCUCUAGUUUGGGGAUUAUGGAAAAUUAAGAAUAUAACUUUAGUUCGGAAGUAGUUUAAGAAUUAUCAUUAUGAGAGUCUACUCCAUAUUAACUAAAAUCCUAAUUAUGCUAUUACUUGGAGAUGCCUUAGGAUAUUGAGACCUGAUAUUAUAAGCCUUGGUGUUAGAAUUUUAGAUGCUUGGCUAGUUCGUGUUGACAAUACCACAAAUAGGUUUAGUAUGAUCUCAGGCACCUCGAUGGCUUGUCCCCAUCCUAGUGGCAUUGCUGCUCUACUCAGAAGUGCUCUGGUCACCUGCUGGCUGCUGCCAUAAAAUCUGCCAUUACAUUCCAUACUUAUAUGGGCUGGGUUUUAUCUACGAACAUUUACGAGUUAUUGUACAGCGCAAAAGGUGAAGUGCACAAAUGUUACCUGAAGCAGCUAUAUUACCCAUCAUCUGCUAUAAGAUUGGUUCUAGUCCACAGACAUACACGAGAACAAUUACAAACUUUGUACAGCUAAAUUCGGCUUAUAAUCUUGAGAUCUUUAAACCAAAAAGGUGCAGACAUUACAGUAGUUUUGUUGGAGUAAGAAAGCUACAUACUCGGUAACGUUGCCGAUGAAUCUCUUGCCCAAGGAUACCCGAAAUGGGCCGCUGACGGGUAUAGUGUUGGAGCCCAAUUGAUAUCCUAUUCGAAUAAAGGGAAAAUUACAGUAUUUUCUAUUUUAAAGUGUUUUAUAUAACUUAUUUUUGACAAUAAAUUAUUGAAUUAAAUAGUCACCUUUAAAAUAAUUGUAUAUUAUUAUUUAUUAUUUAUUUUUAUUUUCUUUUUUUAUCCAUUUUUUAAAAAAACAACGGAUUUUUAAAAAAUAAAUCAAUAAAAAAAGAAAAAUUAAUAUAACAUUUUUUAUUUUUUAGUAUUAAAAAAGAUUUAAAAAAAAUAAUAAAAAAGGAAACAAGAAAUAAAAAAAUCAUAAGUAACGAAAAGUAAGGAUAUUUAAGUUAUUUUACGUGUGAAAUAAAUUAAAUUAGUAAUUUACAUGUAAAAAUUACAAAAGACACCAUAAUAUAUAAAAAUUAGCAAGUUUAGACGAUUGAAUAAAAAGAAAAGCUUAAAAACUGAAAUAGAAAAAAUUAAAAAGUUAAAAUACUAAAUUAUAAUUAUUUAUUAAAUAAAUAGGCAUAGAUUAAUAACAUAAUUGUGAUUCUAUUAGGCAUUAAUAAUACAAAUGGUCAUUGAAUUAUACAUUUAAUUUUAUUUUGGUUACAAAACUUUAAGUUAUUUUAUUUCUGUCAUUCAAUUUUAAUUUUAGUUAUAAUUCAGUCACCAUAUUAAUAAAAAAUAGGAUGUUGUAUUUCUUUUUUCAUUUAAUUAUUCUUUUCAUAUUGAUUAUUUUUACAACAUGUCAAUUUUUCAUUUAUAAAGUUGACUAAAUCCAAACAUAAUUAAAGGAGUAUGAUAAAGAUAAAAUAAAAUAAAAUUUUAUAACUAAAAUAAAUGUAAGUAUGAAACUGACAUUCAUAUCAUUAUCUAAAUUGUAUUUGGAUAAUUAUAGUAAGAGUAAUGGUAGCAAACUUCUGGCUUUAAACACUCUCUUAACAAUUACUCUUAUGAGAUACUCUUAACACUCUGCUUUCAUAUUCCAUUAAUAAUGUGAAUCCAUAAUUCAAAGAUGACAAUUGACAGGAGAAGUGGGCAAACCUCUCCACUAUAAUGUUGAGAUACGAGUCCAACUUGCAGCAUUCAAAUCAAGAUAAUGGUGCACGCCAUUAACUCAUCAUUGAAACAAGAAAUUAUGAGCAAGUGUUCAUGAUAAUGGAAGCCAUUAACAUCUAAUUUUACAUGAUAAUUAGAAGGAAAACAAUAGAAGCACAAAAAUUAAUUUAAUACGAUAAAUUGGAUAGAAAGAUUGAAGUGUGAACAGAAAAUUUUCUUGUGCUUGUGGGGCAACAGUGGCCCAUACAUCAGCAACUAAUUGGAUUAUUACGUCAAACUAGUUGAAUUUUAUCUAAAACAUACACGUUCGUGGAGCAAAUUUGAAAGCAUAUUCAAACUAUUUUUCAAGAACAAUAGAUCGCUAUGCACUUCAUACAUAUUUCAAACUAGUACCAAUAGCAUUGACAUGGACAGGGCACCAUUACCAAGUUACAAAGGCCUAAAAUUGAGAUGCAAUUAAGACAGACAUGCCAACCAACUUGUGUAAGAAAUGUUAAUAUUUUUUCUAACAAAAUAUGCUAUAAAUGCAUAUAUGUAUAUGGCUGUAGAAGCUCAAAACCAACGCCACUUCUCUUUUUUCUUUUUGUUUACCAACAAUAUGGAAAACAUAACAUAUAAGACAUUGCAAACCAUGCUGCUAUUGUCUCUCCUUGUUUUCAGUUUGAUAAAUUUUAGAUUCUCUGAAGCCAUUACUGAGCCACUAAUCGGUUCACCAGACAAAGAUGCAAUUGUUAUAGAGGAAAGUGACUUGGAGACUUAUAUUAUUCUCUUAGAAAAAUCAGAAGGCAGGGAAUUCAAGGAGUCUAAAGAUUUACGUAGCUGGUAUCAGUCAUUUUUGCCGGCUAACACCUCUAGUUCAGAGCUAUCACGUUUGGUUCAUUCCUAUCGGCAUGUAGUUACUGGGUUUGCUGCAAAACUUACAGCAGAAGAAGCAAAGGCAAUGGAGAUGAGGGAAGGAUUUGUGUUAGCCCGCCCACAAAGGAUGGUCCCUCUGCACACCACCCAUACACCUAGCUUCCUGGGACUCCAGCAAAAUUUAGGAUUUUGGAAACAUUCAAAUUUUGGCAAGGGAGUGAUAAUUGGAGUUGUGGACAGUGGAAUAACACCUGAUCACCCUUCAUUUAGCGGUGAAGGAAUGCCCCCUCCACCGGAAAAAUGGACUGGUAAAUGUGAGUUGAAGGGAACAUUAUCAUGCAACAACAAGCUUAUUGGUGCAAGAAAUUUCGCUACUAACAGUAAUGACUUGUUCGAUGAGGUGGCACACGGGACACACACAGCUAGCACAGCAGCUGGAAGUCCCGUGCAAGGUGCCAGUUACUUUGGGCAGGCCAAUGGAACUGCAAUUGGCAUGGCGCCAUUGGCCCACUUGGCCAUGUAUAAAGUAUCUGGCAGAGGCAGGAAGGUCGGCGAGAGUGAGAUACUGGCUGCAAUGGAUGCUGCAAUCGAGGAGGGCGUUGAUAUUCUCUCACUAUCCCUUGGUAUCGGUACUCAUCCUUUCUAUGAUGAUGUGGUUGCGUUAGGUGCAUAUGCAGCUAUUCAAAAGGGAAUCUUUGUGAGCUGCUCGGCAGGGAAUUCUGGGCCUGAUAAUAGUUCUUUAUCAAAUGAGGCACCAUGGAUUCUAACUGUAGGAGCAAGCACUGUAGACAGAGCAAUAAGAGCAACAGUAUUACUUGGAAAUAAAGCAGAGUUAAAUGGAGAAUCCCUUUUCCAGCCAAAAUAUUUUCCUUCAACAUUACUGCCACUUGUUUAUGCAGGUGCAAAUGGUAAUGCAUUAUCAGCAUCAUGCGACGACGGAACAUUGAGAAAUGUGGACGUCAAAGGCAAGAUAGUUUUGUGUGAAGGAGGCUCAGGAACAAUUUCGAAAGGGCAAGAAGUAAAAGAAAAUGGUGGUGCUGCCAUGAUUGUAAUGAAUUAUGAGAAUGAAGGCUUUAGUACGGAAGCAAGUCUUCAUGUGCUCCCUGCAUCACAUGUGAAUUAUGAAGCAGGAUCAGCUAUCAAAGCUUAUAUAAACUCAACAUCAUCACCAAAAGCUACAAUCCUGUUUAAAGGAACCGUAGUUGGGUUGACAGAUGCUCCUCAAGUUGCUUACUUUUCCUCCAGAGGUCCUAGCAUGGCAAGUCCUGGGAUAUUGAAGCCUGACAUUAUAGGCCCUGGUGUGAGAAUUUUAGCUGCUUGGCCAGUUUCAGUUGACAAUACCACAAAUAGGUUUAAUAUGAUCUCAGGCACCUCAAUGUCUUGCCCUCAUCUUAGCGGCAUUGCUGCUUUGCUCAAAAGUGCUCAUCCUGACUGGUCACCUGCUGCCAUAAAAUCUGCCAUCAUGACCACUGCU